rnacentral:rRNA from 1 species
AGAACGAACGCUGGCGGCAGGCUUAACACAUGCAAGUCGAGCGCUGUAGCAAUACAGAGCGGCGCACGGGUGAGUAACACGUGGGAACAUGCCUUUCGGUUCGGAAUAACUCAGGGAAACUUGUGCUAAUACCGGAUACGCCCUUACGGGGAAAGAUUUAUUGCCGAAAGAGUGGCCCGCGUUGGAUUAGCUAGUUGGCGGGGUAAAAGCCCACCAAGGCGACGAUCCAUAGCUGGUCUGAGAGGACGACCAGCCACACUGGGACUGAGACACGGCCCAGACUCCUACGGGAGGCAGCAGUGGGGAAUCUUGGACAAUGGGGGAAACCCUGAUCCAGCCAUGCCGCGUGAGUGAUGAAGGCCCUAGGGUUGUAAAACUCUUUCGGCGGGGACGAUAAUGACGGUACCCGCAGAAGAAGCUCCGGCUAACUCGUGCCAGCAGCCG